AAAUAUAUACGCGCGCGCAGGGGGCCGGCCAGAGACAGAGAGAGAGUCGAGACAAAGCGGCGAGGAGGGUCUAGGCGCGCACGCAAGGACAAGGGCAAGAGUAGGCCGCCGCAGCAGAAGGGGGUCUAAGCUGACGGGGAAGGCUGAGCUUAGAGCCGCUAAAGGGUUCGCUAUUACCGCCUCCUCCCCGUGUUCCACCGCGAGUUGCACAUGCUGGAGUCGUUGCCGGACCGCGCGGUCGAGAGGUGGAGGAAGGAGCCGUUCGGGUAGCUCCGGUAGACCGUGUGCCCGCACCACCACAUGCCGUUGCUCAUGAAGAAGCCCCCGCCCUAGGUCCGCCGCGGCCGCCCCCGCUGCGUCAUGCCGGCGGGGCGCGCCCAGCAGCUGGACCCGCAGUGGGUGGACGGGGCGCUCCAGAAGCUCCUGAUGGAGGCGCUGUAGCGCGGCGCGAUGUGGCGGCGGUGGAUGUCGGACGAGUGGGUGUUGACGUUGUUGAAGUCGUUGCUCCAGCGCGUCAAGGAGCAGCCGCGGCCCUAGGGGCUGAUGUAGGAGUUGGACGGGUCGCUCCAGUACAGGUCGGGGUACCCGCGGUACUAGUACGGGUACUAGGUCUUGGAGCUCCGGUGCGAGUCCUUGUUGCGGCGCGGGGUCUGGUGGGUCAAGCACGGGUGCGGCCGGAGGCAGAGCCACGGCGUCGGCGGCCGAAGCCGGCCGUUUUGGGGAUGACGGUUACGAUCAAGAUGUCGGCGGCGACGGCGACGAUCACGCCGCGGGCGACCGAGAAGAAGGCUCUUUCUUCUUCUCUUCUUCCAGCUCUUCGUCUGAGGCCUCUUUCGGCGGCGCGGCCGUGGCGGCUGACACCGACUGGGAGAGCCGUCGCGCUCCCCCUUCCACGUCCUCCUCCACUACUCCCUCAAACGCCGCGAGUACCGCUCACCGUGCGACGCCCGCUCGCUCCGCCGCCGCGACCGGUACGCGGCCCAGUACCUCGCGGUGCCGCUGCCGCGGUCAUACGUCCGGAUCACCGGACUUUCAUAAAAUGUGUGGAAGCUAGAAACUACGUUGACGUUUGACUAUCAUUAACCUUGCGAACGAAUGAACAUAACGUCGUACCUUGAGUUAAAAUAAACAGACUAAACAAGACUACCACGCCUUAAUAUACUAAUAUACCAAAGAAGUCACGAUCUAAAGAACCAAGUGACGAUUUAACCCAAAAUAGGGUCCGAUUCUAGUAAGACGACUCCUUUAUAUACGGAUUGUUUCAGGACUAUAUUAUAGACCUAAUCGUCGUUUCAGUAUACUGACAAUUGUUACGACUAAGUUAGUCGUCAUCCUCAUCGUCCG
rnacentral:rRNA from 1 species